rnacentral:ncRNA from 1 species
AGAGGGGUGCCUCCACAGCUGGAGGCUGAGAUUACACCCAUUGAACCUGAUACGGUCAAUACCGUCGUAGGGACUUUUCGA